rnacentral:rRNA from 1 species
UUUGUCGCGUCGUCUGUGAAAACCCGCAGCUCAACUGCGGGCUUGCAGGCGAUACGGGCAGACUUGAGUACUGCAGGGGAGACUGGAAUUCCUGGUGUAGCGGUGAAAUGCGCAGAUAUCAGGAGGAACACCGGUGGCGAAGGCGGGUCUCUGGGCAGUAACUGACGCUGAGGAGCGAAAGCGUGGGUAGCGAACAGGAUUAGAUACCCUGGUAGUCCACGCCGUAAACGGUGGGCGCUAGGUGUGGGUUUCCUUCCACGGGAUCCGUGCCGUAGCUAACGCAUUAAGCGCCCCGCCUGGGGAGUACGGCCGCAAGGCUAAAACUCAAAGGAAUUGACGGGGGCCCGCACAAGCGGCGGAGCAUGUGGAUUAAUUCGAUGCAACGCGAAGAACCUUACCUGGGUUUGACAUACACCGGACCGCCCCAGAGAUGGGGUUUCCCUUGUGGUCGGUGUACAGGUGGUGCAUGGCUGUCGUCAGCUCGUGUCGUGAGAUGUUGGGUUAAGUCCCGCAACGAGCGCAACCCUUGUCCUGUGUUGCCAGCACGUAAUGGUGGGGACUCGCAGGAGACUGCCGGGGUCAACUCGGAGGAAGGUGGGGACGACGUCAAGUCAUCAUGCCCCUUAUGUCCAGGGCUUCACACAUGCUACAAUGGCCGGUACAGAGGGCUGCGAUACCGCGAGGUGGAGCGAAUCCCUUAAAGCCGGUCUCAGUUCGGAUCGGGGUCUGCAACUCGACCCCGUGAAGUCGGAGUCGCUAGUAAUCGCAGAUCAGCAACGCUGCGGUGAAUACGUUCCCGGGCCUUGUACACACCGCCCGUCACGUCAUGAAAGUCGGUAACACCCGAAGCCGGUGGCCUAACCCCUCGUGGGAGGGAGCCGUCGAA